AGCCAAGAUGGUAAAGUGUCUGCCUACAAUGCAGGAGACCCAGGUUCGAUCCCUGG
rnacentral:tRNA from 1 species